UACGGGGGGGGCAAGCGUUGUUCGGAAUUACUGGGCGUAAAGGGCUCGUAGGUGGCCAACUAAGUCAGACGUGAAAUCCCUCAGCUUAACUGGGGAACUGCGUCUGAUACUGGAUGGCUUGAGUUUGGGAGAGGGAUGCGGAAUUCCAGGUGUAGCGGUGAAAUGCGCAGAUAUCAGGAGGAACACCGGUGGCGAAGGCGCCACUCUGGGCCGAAACUGACGCUGAGGAGCGAAAGCGUGGGUAGCAAACAGG
rnacentral:rRNA from 1 species